GUUGAGAUUUCUUAUGAAAGGGUAAAUUCCUUACUUGUAACUAAACAUAUUCCUAUCCAUUCCCUUUAUAUUGCUUCACUAGUGUGUCUUCUUUCAUUUUGUAUAUGCCUUUUGGUGCUUAUUUGAGAAAUUAGUAAAUAGAUCUAUCAAGAGGAAGAAAUUGUCUUUCUGGUUUUCAACUUGUUUAUCAAUCUGAUAUUCAAAUAAUUUGAUGGAUAGCUUAACUGGUAAGUCUCUAUUUCUUUCAUUUUGUAUAUGCUUUUUGGUGCUUAUUUGAGAAAUUAGUAACUAGAUCUAUCAAGAGGAAGAAAUUUGUGUUUAUAUAUAGUUCACGAGCUACAUGUGCGUUGGUCGUCGAUCUACACAUAUAUUUUUAUGUUCUUUUUAAUUUACAAGAAUAAUAGUAUCAUCUAAAAAGAAUGAAAAAAUAGGAAUCUUGUUUAAAAAUAGUUUUCUUGAAUUUUCUAGUAUGGUUUGAAUUUUAUAGAUUUUAUAUACAUAUACAUAUAUACAUAUAUAUAUAUAUAAACAUAUAUACAUAUAUAUACAUAUACAUAUAUAGGGGAUGGAUCAUGAGAAAACUAGUUUAAAUGAGAAAACCAAAAAACUAACUAAAAAAAGCCUAAAAACCAUUUAGAUGUAGUUAGUUUUCUAGUUUUCCCAUGUAAAUGUAGUUAGUUUUCUAGUUUUCUCAUAAAGAAUUGAUAAAACAAAAAAAAAAAUGGUAUGUUUUUGGCUUUUUUUUAGGUUUUUUUAGUUAGUUUUAUAGUUUUCUCAUUUAGAUGUAGUUUUCUCAUGAUCCUCUCCCUACAUAUAUGUAUGUAUAUAUAGAAAAAGUAUAUCAUACAAUAUGCCUUAACGUACGCGAUGGCAAAAUUGCACGUUAUGUUACCAAAAAUGAAAAUCGCAUGUUGUGAAAAACCAAAUAUCGCAUAUUAUAAAAAAAAAAUUAAAUUUGCAUGUUGAAAAAAAACCGCAUGUUAAAAAAAAACCAAAAUCGCAUGUUCAAAAAAAAUUGGAUCCUGAUACUGCAUCGCGUACGUUAAGGCGAUUUGUACAAUAAUCGGCCUCUCUAUAUAUAUUUAUAAAAGUGUAUGGUACAAUAUGCCUUAACGUACGAAGCGUACAUAAUGUCAAAUUCGCACGUUAUAACAAAAAGUCGCAUGUUGUAAAAAUAGAAGAUUGCAUGUACAAAAAAAAUGAAAAUCACAUGUCUAUAAAAACCAUAUUUCGCAUCUUAUUAGAAAAACAAAUUCGCAUGAUAUUAAAGAAUACCAAAAUCGCAUGCAUGUAAACCAAUUUUCGCAUGCUGAUAAUAUUUCGCAUCUCAUUCCUGAAUACCAGAAACUACCCAAGGGUGGUGGAUGGAAUGAAUUUGAUGGAAUAAAAUGCCUUAUGUAAUGGGUGAUUCCGUUACCUUGACCAACCAAACACGUAUUUUUUUCAUUACCUUGUAAUAGUGCAUUCCACUCCGCUUAUCAUUCUUGCACACAAGAUACUAACUUAAACUUACAUCAGUACCUAUCAAUCAUAAUAAUAAAAAGAUAAAUUAUUAUUAUUAUUAUUAUUAUUAUUAUUAUUAUUAUUAUUAUUAUUAUUAUUAUUUAAGAAAAAAAAGGCAAGAAUUAACUUUAUUUUACUUUCCUUUCAAUAUGUGCGUUAAGCAUAAUAAAAGUCUAUAAAUGAGUGAUGUGGAAUGAAGGAAUCAAAGGAUGAGUUUGAAAGGAAUAUUGAGAUCACUUAUGAGAAGGUUAAUUCCUUUCUUGUAACCAAACAUAUUCCUCUUUAUUCUUUUUAAGUUGGGGAACUACACCAUUAGUGUGUCUAUCUACUACUCCAUUAGUGUGUCUCUAGUUUUCAGCUUGUUGAUCGCUGAUAAUCAAAUAAUUGGAUGGAUAGUUUAGUGCUUAUUGAGAAAUUCGUAAAUAGAUCUACCAAGAGGAACAAUUCUAUAAUAUAUAUAUAAUAUGCAUAUUGGAAUGGCAGCACAACACUUGGAAACUUUAUGUACAAUAAUUUAAAAUAUGCACACACGCACACGCAUAUAUAUGUAUAUGUACUUCACGGGCUACAUAUUCGGUUUUCACUAAUAAUAGUUACAUAUAAAAAUAAAAAAAAAAUCUUGUAUAAAGAAGGUUUUCUUGAAGUUUUCUAGUAGAGUUUAAGUUUUCUAAAUUCUCCCUCUAUAUAUAUAUAUAGAGAGAGAGAGAGAGAGAGAAAGUAUAAUGUACAAGACGCCUUAACCUACAUUAACGUACGCGACAUAAAACAUAACGUGCGUGAUUAUUUUUUUUUACCAUCAUAACGUGCGUGAUUAUACUUUCCAUGCGUGAUUAUCACCAAAAAAUGGAUCCCAUGUGUUAUUUUGUGUCUUAUGCGUGAUUAGUGCCCUGAUCCGACGGUUACUGGUGUCGCGUACGUGAAGUACGAUAAGGCUUAAUGUAUGUUAACCGCACUCUAUAUAUAUAUAUAUAUAUAUAUAUAUAUAGUGGAAGGUUCAAAUGAGAAGAUAUUUUUUGUAAGAAGAAAAAAGAAUAAGUUUCAACCAAUAAGAAUGUUUCAUUUUACUUCAUUUACUAUUUGCAUUUAAUUUUAAUGUAAGAGUAUAUUUGUAAAGUUACAUAGAUCAUUAAUAUCUAGUCUUCCUUUUUAAUAGCUAACUACAUUAAAUUUGUAACUUAUUUUCAAAAAAUAUAUAUUUUUUCAAAAAUUAGAAAAAAUUAAUUUAGAGUGUAGGAUAAAUUACCAGGUGUGCAGGAUAAAUUACGAGUUGUGUAAGAUAAAUUUAAGCAUGUGUAUGAUAGUUUUCGAAAUGUGUAGGAUAACUUUUUAUAUGUGUAGGCAAUGAAAAUUAGUGUAGAGAAUAAUAGUCUUUAUGAGUAAUUAAUUACUUAAAGAUUGUAAUAAAUGAAAUUAAAGAAUAACUAGUUAAUAUUUUACAAUUUUAUCCUAUGUUCUUUUUCUUCUCAACUAAAUUUUGUUCUCAAAUGAACCUCCCCCUAUAUAUACAUAUAUAUAUAUAUAGGGUAGGGUUCUAGAGUGAACAACCUCCCAAGAGUGAACUGUGUGAACUGAUCAUAGCCCUUGAUUAUCUUUUUUGUUGAGAAGGACAUGAUUGUAAUUGUACAUUAAGUUAUUAUUAGUUAUUUAUUUUAAUUAAUCUAUGGAAGUUACACUUUCCUAUUUUUUGUGAUUACUAAAAAUAUCUUUUUAAAUCUAAACAAGAUCUAUAACAUAAUCACCAUUCAAAACAAUCCAGAUUUUUUUUUUCAAUCGAGCAAUUCUUCAUCAAGUAUUUUUUCUUCGUCGAUUAAAAAUACCCAGAUUUCGAUUACGUACACACAUGAAUGAAUCCCGAAGUACACAUGUGUAUUUAAAUUUAAUACACCUAUGUACAUACAUAUACACAUGUGUACACCCAAUUUAUAUAGGUGUAUACACAGUUUAUACCUACGAUCAAUUUGCAUACACAUGUGUACAACAAAUGUAAAAACACCGUAUACACAGGUGUGCACCCAAUUUACAUAAACAACAGGCACAUACACACUCAACAUCAACAAGAUCGAAACAAAAUUCUUGCAAAAAUUAAACACUAAACAACUUAAUCGGAAUGUCAUACACCAGCAGAUCAAAAAAAACAUAAAAAAAGGAUAUUGAAUAGAUGUAUGGGGUAAUGUAAUACAUCAGCAGAUCAUCGUCUUCUUCAAGCCAUGGAAGUGUCCUGGAUCACACAACAGGAUCUGGUUCUUAAUCCGCAAUCGAGAUUCAUACGAGAUUUAACUGGAAGAAUAUCUAUUAAGAUAUUAUAUUUCUGUUGACUUCAAUAAAAAUCGGUUGCAGAUCCCAUUUGCGUGGAUCAGGGCAAAGAAGGUGCAAUACGUUGUGGGAAUGGGUUUCGCUGGAGAUUUUUCAUAAUCAGCGACGGAGAUCUUCGGCGGUGACUAAUCUCUCUAGAUUCACGGCGGCGAUAGGCGGCGAUAUACACAUCUUACAGGGGAUUCAAUUGGGAUACUGAUUUCGGCGUUUGUAUACUGAUUUCGGCUACACAUGGCUUUGUCUGACUCAUCUCGUGUUGGAUUUGAACCUACGGCAUCUGAUGAUCAUCAUACAACAUUGUCUGCAUACAAUCCACAUCCCGAUUCUGGUUUUUUUGGCCCAUCUGAUGUCAAUUUCAAUCCUAUUUCUGCCGUGGGUCCAUCUGAUGUUGAUGUCAAUACCUUACCUGCAGUUAAUCCAAAUGAAAGUUGCAAUCCUGUGUUUACAACAGUUGCAAAUCGACACACCUUUCAUGGGUUUGAAAUACAGACGUUUGAUUCCAUGUUUACACCAGGCAACGUAGGCUCUGAGACUGCUAAUUUACCUGAUCAAUCAUUAUCAGUUGACACUGCAUCUACUGUUUCUCGAGGAUUUUAUCAAUGGGACGGAAGUUUCAUCUCUUUUGGACUGCAUUCGUCUGACAGCAGGACCUUUGCAUGCUCUUGAUGCUGCAACACGUCCUGCAUGGGCUGCUCCGGUUUCUGCAGUUUCUGGUGCGGCUUCAUCUAUCCCGACACUAUCAAGAGCAAAUGUUAAUGGGCAAAUGCCAAAUGGUACAAACCCAAAUGUUGGUCAUGUCUAUGGUCCCGGUACGGGUCCUGGUGGAAACCCUGGUGCAUCUGCCAUGUUAACUGCUUCUACUGUGGCUAGCGGAGGUGGCAUGGGAAUCGUUCCUAGUACUCUGUUACCGAUUGAUGUGUCGUUUGUUCUUCGUGGCCCGUAUUGGAUUCGGAUAAUAUACCGGAAAUAUUUUGCGGUUAACAUGAGGUGCUUUGCGGGUGAUCAAGUUUGGUUGCAACCUGCAACGCCACCGAAAGGAGGUCCUACAGUUGGAGGUUCUUUACCCUGUCCACAGUUUCGGCCCUUCAUCAUGGAACAUGUUGCUCAGGAGUUGAACGGUUUAGACCCGAAUUUCGAUGGUGGUCAACCAUCAGCCGGACCAACUAAUUCCAACAAUUCGGCUGCGUCUCCUGGUCCGCAACUAUCAGCCCCAAAUGUCACCCGAGCAGACCCUACGGUAAUGUCUCUCCCAGGAAACCAACCCGUGGGAUUUAACCGUUCUACAAAUGCCAUGUCAGCAUCACCAAAUUCACUCUUAGUGCGCAGAGCUACUGUGACAGUUCCUGCUCAUGUUAGAGGAGAGCUGAAUACCGCCAUUAUCGGGCUUGGGGACAAUGGUGGUUACGGUGGUGGUUGGUCCAUCUGCUGAUAAUACACUUGACAGUCACAAUACACCUACAAAUACAGAACAUCAAGAGUUGCAAUUCAUUCGAUUUGUGACUAAAGGAACAAUUACGACUUCUACACCUAAUAGCACACCAUAUUGGAUACCCGAUGUUGAUGCUGCAUACAUCCCUAUCAUAAACAGUACGUUUAACAGUUGGGAGUACGUUGAAUCCAAUGAUACUGAUGAAGAUGUUGAUGAUGAUGCUAAAGACCCUGCAUAUAUAUAUGAACCUGAGUAACCUCGUAGACAUUCAUCCAGGCGUCAUAAAACAUUCAACGAUUCUUGAUUAUCCUAUAUAUAAUGACAAAUAGUUUCUAAUCAUUAUUCUUUUUGUUUACAAACAUUUUGCACUGUCUGUAUACGUAUUCAUAUGUUAUGAUUGUGAUCAUGAUACUUUGAUAUCAAUUAAAUUACUUA